GGGAAACGCAGUUUCAACAGCAGCCGCCACACAUGACUGAGGUCCACAUAGACGCUGUUCUUGUGAUAAGUCUUUCGUUUGUCUUGACAGAGCUGUGGAACAGCAUGCAGAUGAUACUUGUGCUGCUGAUGAUAUUGUCCAGGAAUGCCCUUGGUUUGGAUUUUUUCUGUCAUGCUGAUACGGACUCUACAUGUUCUGGAGAAGCCGGACAGCCUUUGUAUCUGGAACUGCGCAUACAUGCUGAACAACAGGAGCUGAGUUUUCAUGAAGGAACUCUGGAAAGAUUUAAAGUAAAAAAAAAAAAAGGCGAAGUAUUGGACCUCCCCCCAAGAUGGGAGUUUGUUCUUCUUAACUGGACCCUGAUUAUCAACCCUGCAGAGACAAGCGACUCUGGAUCAUACAGAGUUAAAGUCUAUAACGAAAAUGGGGAAAGUCUUAAGGAAAAAAACAUACAUUUGCAAAUCGAAGGGGAUGCAGAAGAAAACUGUCAGGAUGUAGUAUAUGCUGGUGUCAUAGUGGGAAAGAAAAGUAUCAGUAACCACGGCAACACAUCAGGAGCAGAGGUGGAGUACGCUGAGGUGUCUGUGAUGAACAGGUCACCACGACCAAAAAAAAACAGAAGAGAGGAGGAGAAGGUGGAAUACGGGGAGGUGAAAGUUUCUUCUGCUCCAGGGCCGGCUGUUUGCUCCCCUCCGGAGAAGGUGGAAUGCGUCUACUCUGACAUUCAUGUUCACUGAGGAAGCAAUUUUCCCAAAAAUGACACUCAGAAUCCCACAAUACUUUGCACAAUGUGAUGAACACAUUGCACAGCUUUAACUGUUUUUUUUUUCUCCGUUUUUUAUGGUUAAGGGCAUGUGUUGUUUUUGUAGGCUUGAUUCUGUAUUAAAUCUUAAAAUAUUAUUUUGCUCAGUGACAUAAAUUGCAGCGAGCUGCAGACUCGUAUGAAGGACGGCAUAGACCUGCUUCAAACAACCUCAGUUUAAGAACAUUAAAGAUUGUGAGUCUUUGCCAUCCAGAGCGGACGCAGCGGUAAUCAUUCUCGUGUGGUUCUCUGUAGAGUUGAAUGAUUUACCUUCGACUCUGUAUCGGAUUCGCUUGUUUAGAUCGUAAGGGUGCUUGUGUGGGUCGCUAAGGUACUGCAUUAGUUUCGCCAUUGUUGUUGUUGCUGUUGUUGGGGGUCAGUUUCACCUGAGAUACAGACACGCCCACUCUUGCGUUGUUGGAACUGGUUUAGUUAGCAUUGCUUUAGGAGACUGGUUAAAAGCGUCCCCCUGCUCCAGUGACUCUCAAGACAGAAACAUUUGAAAACUAAAAAGCAUUUCAAAAGAGUCUAACAUACACACACACACGCGCACACACACAUACACACACACACACACACACACACAAAACAAUUCCCUAGCAUGUUCUUUUUCUUGGCAAGUUAGGCCUGUACCAGGGCUCUAUGUUUUGUAACUCACAAUUCAUGGAAACCGAAAGGGAAUUGCUGGUGUCUUCCUCGUGUAAGUCGCUUUAAAUAAAAGCGUCUGCUAAGUAAAGUAAAAAAGUAAA
ensembl:lncRNA uncharacterized LOC114768194